ensembl:lncRNA
UGCCCAGAGAGCCUGGGAAGUGCACUGUCUGCUGAUCCCCUUAGGACAAUGCCUCUGUGAAGUGUCAUCGGGAACAGCACACACAGCUGAACUAUUUCUAGUGCAAAGAACUACUUUUUUACAGCAAGCCAAUCAUGACAGAUCUCCCAGUGCCUGAGCGUUGUCAGCAUGAUAAAAUGUCUAAGAAAGGAGAAGGAUGUACCUUGCAUUCUGAAAAUGUUGAAGUUUCCAGAUGGUGCUAGGGAGGAGGCGCAGAUAAUAGCAACACAGGGCUUUUAAUGGAGGACGGUUCAUAUCCAAGACAUAGAAGCUCAUCCAAGAAAAGAUUAACCCUGUUUUCUGAUCCAUUAUGAAGUCUUGUAAUGAAAGGAUGGAUGCUCACCUUUGGAAAAAACAUGAGAGCCUGAAAAAUAACUACCUUCAUUGAAGCCAUGUUAAGCUAAAGUGUGG